rnacentral:rRNA from 1 species
AUUGAACGCUGGCGGCAUGCCUUACACAUGCAAGUCGAACGGCAGCGGACCUUCGGGUGCCGGCGAGUGGCGAACGGGUGAGUAACGUAUCGGAACGUACCUUAGAGUGGGGGAUAACGUAGCGAAAGUUACGCUAAUACCGCAUAUUCUGUGCGCAGGAAAGCAGGGGAUCUUCGGACCUUGUGCUCUUGGAGCGGCCGAUGUCCGAUUAGCUAGUUGGUAGGGUAAAAGCCUACCAAGGCGACGAUCGGUAGCUGGUCUGAGAGGACGACCAGCCACACUGGGACUGAGACACGGCCCAGACUCCUACGGGAGGCAGCAGUGGGGAAUUUUGGACAAUGGGGACAACCCUGAUCCAGCCAUGCCGCGUGCGGGAAGAAGGCCUUCGGGUUGUAAACCGCUUUCGGCCGGAACGAAAUCGCCGAGGAGAACAUCCCCGGUGGAUGACGGUACCGGAAGAAGAAGCACCGGCUAACUACGUGCCAGCAGCCGCCGUAAUAC